rnacentral:rRNA from 1 species
GUUGAACGCUGGCGGCAGGCCUAACACAUGCAAGGCGAGGGGAUGAAGGGAGCUUGCUUCUGGAUUCAGCGGCGGACGGGGGAGUAAUGCCUAGGAAUCUGCCUGGUAGUGGGGGAUAACGUCCGGAAACGGGCGCUAAUACCGCAUACGUCCUGAGGGAGAAAGUGGGGGAUCUUCGGACCUCACGCUAUCAGAUGAGCCUAGGUCGGAUUAGCUAGUUGGUGGGGUAAAGGCCUACCAAGGCGACGAUCCGUAACUGGUCUGAGAGGAUGAUCAGUCACACUGGAACUGAGACACGGUCCCGACUCCUACGGGAGGCCGCAGCGCGCAAUCCCGGCCCGUGGGUCAACGGCUGAUGCAGCCGUGCCGGGUGUAUGAAGAAGCCCUCCGGAUUGUACAGCCCUCCAGGUUGUGAGGUAGGGAAGUAAGUUACUACCUUGCUGUCUUGACGUGAGCAACAGCAUAAGCACCGCCUAACCUCGUG